rnacentral:rRNA from 1 species
AUUGAACGCUGGCGGCAGGCCUAACACAUGCAAGUCGAGCGGAUGAAGGGAGCUUGCUCCUGGAUUCAGCGGCGGACGGGUGAGUAAUGCCUAGGAAUCUGCCUGGUCGUGGGGGAUAACGUCCGGUAACGGGCGCUAAUACCGCAUCCGUCCUGCGGGAGAAAGUGGGGGAUCUUCGGCCCUCACGCUCUCAGAUGAGCCUAGGUCGGAUUAGCUAGUUGGUGGGGUAAAGGCCUACCAAGGCGACGAUCCGUAACUGGUCUGAGAGGAUGAUCAGUCACACUGGAACUGAGACACGGUCCAGACUCCUACGGGAGGCAGCAGUGGGGAAUAUUGGACAAUGGGCGAAAGCCUGAUCCAGCCAUGCCGCGUGUGUGAAGAAGGUCUUCGGAUUGUAAAGCACUUUAAGUUGGGAGGAAGGGAAGUAAGUUAAUACCUUGCUGUUUUGACGUUACCAACAGAAUAAGCACCGGCUAACUUCGUG